UACAGAGGUCUCAAGCGUUGUCCGGAAUUAUUGGGCGUAAAGGGCUCGUAGGCGGUUUGUUGCGUCGGGAGUGAAAACAUCCAGCUUAACUGGGUGCUUGCUUUCGAUACGGGCAGACUUGAGGUAUGCAGGGGAGAAUGGAAUUCCUGGUGUAGCGGUGAAAUGCGCAGAUAUCAGGAGGAACACCGGUGGCGAAGGCGGUUCUCUGGGCAUUACCUGACGCUGAGGAGCGAAAGUGUGGGGAGCGAACAGG
rnacentral:rRNA from 1 species